rnacentral:rRNA from 1 species
UACAGAGGGUGCGAGCGUUAAUCGGAAUUACUGGGCGUAAAGCGCACGUAGUCGGCUUUGCAAGUCGGGUGUGAAAUCCCCGGGCUCAACCUGGGAACUGCAUCCGAGACUGCAUUGCUAGAGUAUGGGAGAGGGAAGCGGAAUUUCUGGUGUAGCAGUGAAAUGCGUAGAUAUCAGAAGGAACAUCAGUGGCGAAGGCGGCUCACUGGCCCCGGUACUGACGCUCAUGCACGAAAGCGUGGGGAGCAAACAGG